rnacentral:rRNA from 1 species
CCUACGGGAGGCAGCAGUGGGGAAUCUUGCGCAAUGGGCGAAAGCCUGACGCAGCCAUGCCGCGUGAAUGAUGAAGGUCUUAGGAUUGUAAAAUUCUUUCACCGGGGACGAUAAUGACGGUACCCGGAGAAGAAGCCCCGGCUAACUUCGUGCCAGCAGCCGCGGUAAUACGAAGGGGGCUAGCGUUGCUCGGAAUUACUGGGCGUAAAGGGAGCGUAGGCGGAUAGUUUAGUCAGAGGUGAAAGCCCAGGGCUCAACCUUGGAAUUGCCUUUGAUACUGGCUAUCUUGAGUACGGAAGAGGUAUGUGGAACUCCGAGUGUAGAGGUGAAAUUCGUAGAUAUUCGGAAGAACACCAGUGGCGAAGGCGACAUACUGGUCCGUUACUGACGCUGAGGCUCGAAAGCGUGGGGAGCAAACAGGAUUAGAUACCCUGGUAGUCCACGCCGUAAACGAUGAGUGCUAGUUGUCGGCNUGNANNCAUGUCGGUGACGCAGCUACGCAUAAGCACUCCGCCGUCGGGAGGUACGGUCGCGAGAAUUAAACUAACAAUAGAAGUUAGACGGCGUGAGACGUGCCGACGACGACGACGAGGGAGGAGG